CCCGCUGAACUUAAGCAUAUCAUUAAGCGGAGGAAAAGAAACUAACUAGGAUUCCCUUAGUAAAGGCGAUUGAAGAGGGAAUAGCUCAAACUGAAAAUCAGUAAUUUAUUACUGAAUUGUAGUCUCGUGAAGUAUUACCAGUGGAAUGUAUGGAUAAGUUUCUUGGAAUGGAACAUCAAAGAGGGUGACAAUCCCGUCUUUGCCAUACUAAUUUCUGCAUACGGUAUACUUUCUUAGAGUCGUGCUCCUUGAGACUGGACCACAAAAUGGGUGAUAUACUUCAUCUAAAGCUAAAUAUUGGCAAGGAACCGAUAGCGGACAAGUACCGUGAGGGAAAGAUGAAAAGGACUUUGAAAAGAGAGUUAAAAGUAUCUGAAAUCGCUAAGGGGGAAGCGCUUGUAAACUACGCCGUUUAGGUGCGAUUGAUGUGUUAUGGGGGUCGUGAUUACAGUGCCGAAAGGGCUGUAGUUGCAUCCGAAGUAUCGCAUGAACCGCAACCUGAUCAGGGUCGGUAUCAAUAAGGGAUGUACUAAUGAUUCAGGUUACAUCAGAUUCAGCUUCUGUUGGGUUUGACUAAUCCGAGUAUAGCAGUAGUUCCUUAUUGACUAUCUUCAAUGAUGGCUGCACUCUCUGAGUACCGUCAUUGUGAGUUGCCGAUUUGUAGGGUAUAAGCGGCCCGUCUUGAAACACGG
rnacentral:rRNA from 1 species